GCAGCAGUUAGGAAUCUUCCGCAAUGGACGGAAGUCUGACGGAGCGACGCCGCUUGGAGGAGGAAGCCCUUCGGGGUGUAAACUCCUGAACUGGGGACGAAAGCCCCGUGUAGGGGGAUGACGGUACCCAGGUAAUAGCGCCGGCCAACUCCGUGCCAGCAGCCGCGGUAAUACGGAGGGCGCGAGCGUUACCCGGAUUUACUGGGCGUAAAGGGCGUGUAGGCGGCCUGGGGCGUCCCAUGUGAAAGGCCACGGCUCAACCGUGGAGGAGCGUGGGAUACGCUCAGGCUAGAGGGUGGGAGAGGGUGGUGGAAUUCCCGGAGUAGCGGUGAAAUGCGCAGAUACCGGGAGGAACGCCGAUGGCGAAGGCAGCCACCUGGUCCACUUCUGACGCUGAGGCGCGAAAGCGUGGGGAGCAAACCGGAUUAGAUACCCGGGUAGUCCACGCCCUAAACGAUGCGCGCUAGGUCUUUGGGGUUUACCUGGGGGCCGAAGCCAACGCGUAAGCG
rnacentral:rRNA from 1 species